CCAAAGGGUCAUUAAAUCCAUUACGGGUCCACUUAAUUUCUUUUUUACACGGGUAUAUGUGGGGAUUCUCUAGAUCAUACAUGAGCAAGUGUUCCCACCUCCGCUUGGUGAGUGAAUGAUCGCAUUUAUUACAACGCCACCUGUGAUUCCUAUUCACCUCAAACCCUGUUAACUGAUUUCAGGCGCUGGCGACGGACUUGCAUUGGUGAUCUUACCGCUUUCUAUUGCUUUUCUGGUGAUGACUUGGAAUAACUGGGUUUCUCCGAUGGCCUCUGAACCGACGAUGUAUCCCUCAAACGGCUGCCUUAUCAACUGUCCAUGGUACGUUAUGCGCCUACCGCGGUUGUAACGGGUAACGGGGAAUUAGGGUUCGAUUCCGGAAAGGGAGCCUGAAAGACUGCUACCACAUCUGAAGUUGGCAUGAGGCCCGCUAAUUACACUAUCCCAGUACCGGUAGGUAGUGACGAAUAAUAACAAUACGGGACUCUAUUC
rnacentral:rRNA from 1 species